rnacentral:misc_RNA from 1 species
GCAUUCUCAAGCUUGUCUUUUUCUUUUGCCUCACGUAAGGCUAGAAGUUCUGCUUCUUUUCUUUGUGCUGCCUCUCUUUCAGCACACUCAUUCACAUAAUCAGCUUCCCUUUUCGCAGCUUCGUACUUCUCAUUCUCUUUUCGUGCCAACUCUUUUACUUCCUCUUCCUUCAAACAAAUUUCCCGAAGUUUAACAUCUUCCUCCAAACGGCGCUUGUGCAGAUCAUUUAUCUUCCUAGAAGCAUCAAGUACUUCAGUUUGUGCAACUGCAUACAUUCCUCGAGUAUGCCUUAAUUCAGCUCUUAGCUUCUCUAGCU